UUUCUAUUCGAUUACAAUUACUAAUUUUUUCUUCAUUUUGAUAAGCCUAAUUUCUAGGAUAUAUAAGUUUCUUCUCUUACAUAUGGUUUUAAGUAAAAUGUCUUUAUAUAACUUUUAACUCUCUUAUUCAGUGGUUGAAAACACUCCCUCGUGAGCCUUAGUAAAGUUUCAUAUAAUCACAAGGAAGAGAUUAACAAGUUUGGUUUGGAAUAAGUGCUGAUCACAAUAUCAUAACAUUGCUAGGUUACAUUGUUAGGUUGCUUGCAGAGCCGGCUGUGACCUAGUUGUUGUGGUAUGUUGGAUUUGAUUUUGUUAUUAUAGAGAGUGUAAUAGCGGUUUGGACCUUUUAUGGUCCAAUCCAAGUGAAUUGAAGCUAGUCCAGACUUUAAAAGGAACUAUGUAAGCAUUGGUUCAAGUUAUUUUUGGUAAUUUGCACACCAUUGAUACACUUUAUUUUUAAACUUUUGGGGUUGCUCUCAUCCCAGAUGGUCACUUUUAGAGGUAUGUUACUUUCUCCCAAUUUUCUUUACAUAUGUCUUCUAAAAUAACAUGCCACCGCUAAAUCUAAGUGGAAAGGACUAAUUGGGUGCUGAAAUAUAAGGUAUUCUAGUUGAUUUGAUGAUUUGUUCUUCGUGUGCUUAUGCUUGAACAUGAUGUUGCAUACAUCAGGUUGUUGUCUUAGAUGUCAAGAUUUUUAUGUUAAUAAUCAUAAUACACUCAGAUAUAACGGUUGAUAACAAUUCAAGAGUUAGGGGCAAUAGAAUGUUGAAACUUGAAAAUCCUUAUGUCAUUUUCCAGAAGGCUGCACGAUCAUAUAGACGAUGCACCAAGAACUAAAUGAUAGUUCAAUUAAGUAAACGAUUGGAGGAAGCGUUAGAUGAUCGUGUAUACGACAAUUGACUGAAACUAGACGAUCGUAUAGACGACAAUUGAGGAGCUACACGAUGCAAUAGGAACUACACGAUCGUGUAAACGAUACCUUAGCAAAAUCUAAACUAUCGUAGAGGCGAUUCGGCCAACAAUGAAGCUCUGGUGGUUACAAUACUUAACAGAAAGAGGUCGACAACGGUUCAACUACCAGCUGCACUGUUCUAUUUCUUGAUUUCGAAUCUUUCUGUAACACAGGUUAUGGCUAGUGAUGGAUUGUGGGAUGUCCUUAGCAACUCUGAGGUAGUUGGUAUAACCAGGGACACUGUCAAAGAUCCAGGAAUGUACUUGAAACGACUCGCAAUGGAAGAUACAACUCGAAGCAGCAACGAUAACAUUGCGAUAAAACUUUUAGAUCGGUAGACUUUUGUUGGUAAGACGAGAUUCAGUUGUGCAAUAUUCUUGGUAAAUCAAAGAAAUGCAUAUACCCAAAAAGAGAUCAAUGAGAUUGGAACAUAAUGGGCUAGUUUUGUUGGGCGAUUUGUGUAAGGCUGAAUUUAUUUUUAUUUUUAUUUUAUCUUAAUAGAAUGUAAAUUAGUUUAUAAAUAUAAUGGAAGUUAAGUUA